GUUCCAGACCACCUCUCGUCCCCCAAUCCGCCUACUCCCCCAAUCAGCCGCCGCCUCCUCUCCUCCUCCCCCCGCCGCCUCCUCUCGUUUCUCUCCCACUUUGCUGGUCGCGGAGGGUGAGCGGCGGGCGCGGGCGGCUUCCCGGAGGAGGCUAGCGGCGCGGGCGGCGAGGAGACCGGCUCAGAGGUCGAGCUCGCGCCGUCUCACUCUCCCGGCCGCGUAUGCGGGCACAACGGCAGCGGCUGCCUCAGGAGAGGAGGAUGCGUCGGCGGUCCUUGGUGCGGGACAUCCGCUCGAACUGGCGCGGGGGAGACCGGAUGAAGCAACGGCGGCGAGGCUCGCGAUCUCCGGUCGCCACCACCUCCACGCCUGGCGGGGAUCGAGAUCCCCACCUCAUCCUUCCAUGCCUCUGCACCCGACGAUGACGGCCCAGCCAUGUUGUUUGGGCGAGGAGGCAACAGAUCGGGAGGCAGCGAGAUGAAGCCUUCAAUCCUUCUUCCAUGGCGCCACCUCGACCUCACGGAUCUUGCUCGUCGUCAGUCAGGAUCCGGUCGGCCGAAGCAGUCGAAGAGGAGCGGAAGCUGCGGGUCGUCGGCCAGGGCGAGUAUUCUGGCACCUCCUCAGCGUGCAGCACAGAGGUCAUGGCGAGCAGCACCACGAGGGAGAAGAGAGUGGAAAAGUGCAAACGCCUGGGGGAGGAAGAGCAGUGCGGCCGGCCGGAAACGAUUCAAUUGAUUGCAAUUCUGGUGCUCCACAUCGCCUAGGAAUCUGAGAAGAUUUGCGCAGAGGGCCUCUUCAUGGUUUCAUGGUCGAGCUCUCAACAGCUGCUGCUCCUAAUCCUUAAUGACCACAUUGCCACCCCGUGUCGUCGUUGUCGCUGCGUUAUGCAGCACUGCCAUCACCUCUCUACUCCGCCAUGCCCUGUACGGAGUCGUCGGCUGCCUCUCAUUCCCUCCAGUUUACCCGCUUCCACAUUGCCUUCAAUCUCAGGGAACUUCAAGAACAAUAUGUGUUUGGUUUCUUUGUAAUC